rnacentral:lncRNA from 10 species
AGAUCAGUAGAAAAUGAACAGAUCCCAGGUACCUGUGUGGGUUCCCUCAGACCUGGCCCCAGUACUUUUGCCUUUCCUUGGGAGCCAUCUGAUUCACUGCUGGUUUCAGCAGCCACCAACAUGCCAGUGACUCCGCAGUCCUCAGCUUCAUUACGGGCUUCCCUUCUGAGCUCCAGAACCACUCAUCCAGCUCCCUCCUGAAGAUCCCUGCCUGCCCGUUCCACAGACACUUCGAGCACAACAUGUCCGAGACCCCUCUAGCCCUUACCUUUUGCCCAGCCUCUUUCUUUGCACUUCCCAGUCUUUGCAAAUGGCACCUGGAUUUACCUGGAGGCUCAUAAAGAAACUCUGGGAGAUAAUUUCCCCAUCUUUCUUUUGCACCAUGAAUUUGGGACCAAUAUCUCUUAAUGUCUUAUUUUGUAGGAUCAAUUCUUCUUUCCAGGAGUUAGCUAACGUCUUUUGUAAAGAGCCAG